UUGGAGGGCAAGUCUGGUGCCAGCAGCCGCGGUAAUUCCAGCUCCAAUAGCGUAUAUUAAAGUUGUUGCAGUUAAAAAGCUCGUAGUUGAAUUUCGGGGUCAGUAGGUCGGUCGUGCCAACGGUAUGAACUGGCCUCACUGAUUCCUCCCUCUUGUAGAACCGUGAUGCCAUUAACUUGGUGUUGCGGGGAAACAGGACUGUUACUUUGAAAAAAUUAGAGUGUUUAAAGCAGGCAAGCAGGC
rnacentral:rRNA from 1 species